AUUGAACGCUGGCGGCAGGCCUAACACAUGCAAGUCGAACGAGUGGCGGACGGGUGAGUAAUGUCUGGGAACCUGCCUGAUGGAGGGGGAUAACUACUGGAAACGGUAGCUAAUACCGCAUACCAUCAGAUGUGCCCAGAUGGGAUUGGCUUGUUGGUGGGGUAACGGAGCACAAAGGCGACGAUCCCUAGCUGGUCUGAAAGGAUGACCAGCCACACGGGAACGAGGACACGGUCCAGACUCGUAAGUGAGGCAGCAGUGGGGAAUAUGGCACAAUGGGCGCAAGCCUGAUGCAGCCAUGCCGCGUGUAUGAAGAAGGCCUUCGGGUUGUAAAGGACUUUCAGCGGGGAGGCGUUACCCGCAGAAGAAGCACCGGCUUACUCCGUGCCAGCAGCCGCGGUAAUUC
rnacentral:rRNA from 1 species